rnacentral:rRNA from 1 species
UACGGGGGGGGCAAGCGUUGUUCGGAAUUACUGGGCGUAAAGGGCUCGUAGGCGGCCAACUAAGUCAUACGUGAAAUCCCUCGGCUUAACCGGGGAACUGCGUCUGAUACUGGAUGGCUUGAGUUCGGGAGAGGGAUGCGGAAUUCCCGGUGUAGUGGUGAAAUGCGCAGAUAUCAGGAGGAACACCGGUGGCGAAGGCGGGUCUCUGGGCCGUAACUGACGCUGAGGAGCGAAAGCGUGGGGAGCGAACAGG